ACCAAUUCUGAGUGAUAAAUACAGUUCCCUCAGGUAUAAUGGCUUGUGACGCAAUAGUAAUUUUGUGGUAUAUCCUGAUCAUCUUGCUUUUUCUUAAUGCCUUUUGAUCCUGGAAAUGCCUCGCAUAUUU